rnacentral:rRNA from 1 species
UACGAAGGGGGCUAGCGUUGCUCGGAAUCACUGGGCGUAAAGCGCACGUAGGCGGAUUGCUAAGUCAGGGGUGAAAUCCUGGAGCUCAACUCCAGAACUGCCUUUGAUACUGGCGACCUUGAGUCCGGGAGAGGUGAGUGGAACUGCGAGUGUAGAGGUGAAAUUCGUAGAUAUUCGGAAGAACACCAGUGGCGAAGGCGGCUCACUGGCCCGGUACUGACGCUGAGGUGCGAAAGCGUGGGGAGCAACAGG